AUUGAACGCUGGCGGCAUGCCUAACACAUGCAAGUCGAACGAGUGGCGGACUGGUGAGUAAUUUCUGGGAAACUGCCUGAUGGAUGGGUAUAACUACUGGAAACGGUAGCUAAUACCGCAUACCACCGUUUCUUUCAUCAUUGGAUUAGCUAGUAGGUGGGGUAAAGGCUCACCUAGGCGACGAUCCAUAGCUGUUCUGAGAGGAUGACCAGCCACACUGGAACUGAGACACGGUCCAGACGCCUACGGGAGGCAGCAGUGGGGAAUAUGGCACAAUGGGCGCAAGCCUGAUGCAGCAAUGCCGCGUGAGUGAAGAAGGCCUUCGGGUUGUAAAGUACUGUCAGCAGGGAGGCGUUACCCGCACAAGAAGCACCGGCUAACUCCGUGCCAGCAGCCGCGGUAAUUC
rnacentral:rRNA from 1 species